rnacentral:tRNA from 1 species
GCUGGAGUUUUGGCUCAGUGGUAGAGUGCUUGCUUAGCAUGUGUGAGGCACUGGGUUCGAAGCUCAGCACCAGCU